rnacentral:rRNA from 1 species
CGACUGGCGACCGGCGCACGGGUGAGUAACACGUAUCCAACCUGCCCGAUACCGGGGUAUAGCCCAUGGAAACGUGGAUUAACACCCCAUAGUACUUUUAUCCUGCAUGGGAUGUGAGUUAAAUGUUCAAGGUAUCGGAUGGGCAUGCGUCCUAUUAGUUAGUUGGCGGGGUAACAGCCCACCAAGACGAUGAUAGGUAGGGGUUCUGAGAGGAAGGUCCCCCACAUUGGAACUGAGACACGGUCCAA